GGUGGGUUAGCUCAGUGGUUAGAGCUUAGGCCUUGUGACCGGAAGGUCCUGGGUUCGAAUCUCGCCAGAGCA
rnacentral:tRNA from 1 species